AGAGUUUGAUCCUGGCUCAGAUUGAACGCUGGCGGCAGGCUUAACACAUGCAAGUCGAGCGGUAGCACAGGGGAGCUUGCUCCCUGGGUGACGAGCGGCGGACGGGUGAGUAAUGUCUGGGAAACUGCCUGAUGGAGGGGGAUAACUACUGGAAACGGUAGCUAAUACCGCAUAACGUCGCAAGACCAAAGAGGGGGACCUUCGGGCCUCUUGCCAUCAGAUGUGCCCAGAUGGGAUUAGCUAGUAGGUGGGGUAAUGGCUCACCUAGGCGACGAUCCUUAGCUGGUCUGAGAGGAUGACCAGCCACACUGGAACUGAGACACGGUCCAGACUCCUACGGGAGGCAGCAGUGGGGAAUAUUGCACAAUGGGCGCAAGCCUGAUGCAGCCAUGCCGCGUGUGUGAAGAAGGCCUUCGGGUUGUAAAGCACUUUCAGCGAGGAGGAAGGUGGUGAGCUUAAUACGCUCAUCAAUUGACGUUACUCGCAGAAGAAGCACCGGCUAACUCCGUGCCAGCAGCCGCGGUAAUACGGAGGGUGCAAGCGUUAAUCGGAAUUACUGGGCGUAAAGCGCACGCAGGCGGUUUGUUAAGUCAGAUGUGAAAUCCCCGGGCUCAACCUGGGAACUGCAUUUGAAACUGGCAAGCUAGAGUCUCGUAGAGGGGGGUAGAAUUCCAGGUGUAGCGGUGAAAUGCGUAGAGAUCUGGAGGAAUACCGGUGGCGAAGGCGGCCCCCUGGACGAAGACUGACGCUCAGGUGCGAAAGCGUGGGGAGCAAACAGGAUAGAUACCCUGGUAGUCCACGCUGUAAACGAUGUCGAUUUGGAGGUUGUGCCCUUGAGGCGUGGCUUCCGGAGCUAACGCGUUAAAUCGACCGCCUGGGGAGUACGGCCGCAAGGUUAAAACUCAAAUGAAUUGAACGGGGGCCCGCACAAGCGGUGGAGCAUGUGGUUUAAUUCGAUGCAACGCGAAGAACCUUACCUACUCUUGACAUCCAGAGAACUUUCCAGAGAUGGAUUGGUGCCUUCGGGAACUCUGAGACAGGUGCUGCAUGGCUGUCGUCAGCUCGUGUUGUGAAAUGUUGGGUUAAGUCCCGCAACGAGCGCAACCCUUAUCCUUUGUUGCCAGCGGUUCGGCCGGGAACUCAAAGGAGACUGCCAGUGAUAAACUGGAGGAAGGUGGGGAUGACGUCAAGUCAUCAUGGCCCUUACGAGUAGGGCUACACACGUGCUACAAUGGCGUAUACAAAGAGAAGCGACCUCGCGAGAGCAAGCGGACCUCAUAAAGUACGUCGUAGUCCGGAUUGGAGUCUGCAACUCGACUCCAUGAAGUCGGAAUCGCUAGUAAUCGUAGAUCAGAAUGCUACGGUGAAUACGUUCCCGGGCCUUGUACACACCGCCCGUCACACCAUGGGAGUGGGUUGCAAAAGAAGUAGGUAGCUUAACCUUCGGGAGGGCGCUUACCACUUUGUGAUUCAUGACUGGGGUGAAGUCGUAACAAGGUAACCGUAGGGGAACCUGCGGUUGGAUCACCUCCUU
rnacentral:rRNA from 1 species